AAUCCAGUUGUUUCGUGCGCUUUGUUGCCUCGGCAGCCUCACCCUUCCUCGUGGAGUGUUUUCGAGGUUUUAGAUAUUUCGGUAGGUUUCACUCGAUUUUGCGAGAACGGAGAAAUAAGCGACGUCCACAGGGCUUUAUUUAAAAACUGCAAUCCUUCGAAUGUGGUCGACUUCGAGCGUAGGACGGCGUACAAGGUGUCUUGGGACGGCGACGCGAACACUCGAGGAGGCUAUUACGACGCCGAGAUCCUCGAACUGACGGGACUACCUGCGGCUCGGCUGUUGAUGCGGGAGGUGCUGUAGGGCCCUACUGCCUAACACUUGCUGACGAGGACAUCCUUGCAAAGAAUGAGAUCGUGGAUCCUAGCAUCGGCCUCCAGAAAAGGAAGGAAUGAUCCAUGUUGGGCAAGGUGUGCACGUCAACCAGGAAUGCGGGCAACAUGCGGAAAGCAGAGUGCGACUCCAUGUUUUGCAAGAUCACUGCUGCUUCCAUAGGGUGAGUGGAAGUGCUUUUGGAGAGGUCGGUGACCGGCACCCUCUCCAACAAGGCAAAGGCAGCGAGGC